AGUGAACGCUGGCGGUAGGCCUAACACAUGCAAGUCGAACGGCAGCACAGGAGAGCUUGCUCUCUAGGUGGCGAGUGGCGGACGGGUGAGGAAUACAUCGGAAUCUGCCCAGUCGUGGGGGAUAACGUAGGGAAACUUACGCUAAUACCGCAUACGACCUUCGGGUGAAAGAGGGGGAUCGCAAGACCUCUCGCGAUUGGAUGGGCCGAUGUCGGAUUAGCUAGUUAGCGGGGUAAUGGCCCACCAAGGCGACGAUCCGUAGCUGGUCUGAGAGGAUGAUCAGCCACACUGGAACUGAGACACGGUCCAGACUCCUACGGGAGGCAGCAGUGGGGAAUAUUGGACAAUGGGCGCAAGCCUGAUCCAGCCAUACCGCGUGGGUGAAGAAGGCCUUCGGGUUGUAAAGCCCUUUUGUUGGGAAAGAAAUCUUUCAGGCUAAGACCCUGGGAGGAUGACGGUACCCAAAGAAUAAGCACCGGCUAACUUCGU
rnacentral:rRNA from 1 species